rnacentral:sRNA from 2 species
CCCGCCGGUACGCCGAGUCCUGUCCGCCGGCUGGGGCAGCAGCACAUCACACGGACAGGAGCGGGGGACCCACUUUCUGGGCCGGCUAGGACCGGUCCUUGGGGUGAAGCCGCGACACGCGGCCGGGCCACUUCUGCCCGAACCCGACAGCUCACCUCGAAGGCGUGGGAAGGAAGACCG